UAUGGCUCAGGAUGAACGCUGGCGGCAUGCCUAAGACAUGCAAGUCGAACGAGGGGACCCAUUGACUAUUAUCGAAAGUGGAGUGCUUGCACAAAGCUGGACUUAAUUCGAUUUGGAUUUUUCCCCUAGUGGCAGACGGGUGAGUAACACGUGGGUAAUCUACCUCAGAGAUUGGGAUAACGUUUAGAAAUGAACGCUAAUACCGAAUAAUUCAUGUUUAGAUAACUAGAUAUGCUAAAAGGAGCUUCGGCUUCACUUUGAGAUGAGCUUGCGGUGUAUUAGCUAGUUGGUAGGGUAAUGGCCUACCAAGGCUACGAUGCAUAUCCGAGCUGAGAGGCUGAUCGGACACACUGGGACUGAGACACGGCCCAGACUCCUACGGGAGACAGCAGUUAGGAAUAUUCGUCAAUGGAGGAAACUCUGAACGAGCAAUGCCGCGUGAGUGAUGAAGGCCCUAUGGGUCGUAAAACUCUGUUGUAAAGGAAGAACACUUACCAUAGGUAAUGAUGGUAGGCUGACGGUACUUUACCAGAAAGCCCCGGCUAACUACGUGCCAGCAGCCGCGGUAAUACGUAGGGGGCGAGCGUUAUCCGGAUUUAUUGGGCGUAAAGCGUGUGUAGGCGGUUUAUUAAGUCUAAGAUUAAAGUCCGAGGCUUAACCUCGGUUCGUUUUAGAAACUGGUAGACUUGAGUGUGGUAGAGGCAAGUGGAAUUUCUAGUGUAGCGGUUAAAUGCGUAGAUAUUAGAAGGAACACCAGUGGCGAAGGCGGCUUGCUGGGCCAUUACUGACGCUGAGACACGAAAGCGUGGGGAGCAAAUAGGAUUAGAUACCCUAGUAGUCCACGCCGUAAACGAUGAGUACUAAGUGUCGGGAAACCGGUGCUGAAGCUAACGUAUUAAGUACUCCGCCUGAGUAGUACGGUCGCAAGGCUGCAACUCAAAGGAAUUGACGGA
rnacentral:rRNA from 1 species